AUUGAACGCUGGCGGCAGGCCUAACACAUGCAAGUCGAGCGGAGCGCCGGACGGGUGAGUAAUGCCUAGGUAUCUGCCUGUUCGUGGUGGAUAACGUCCGGAACCGGGCGCUAUUACCGCAUCCUAUCAGACUCGCCUAGGUCCGAUUAGCUAGUUGGUGGGGUAAAGGCCUACCAAGGCGACGAUCCGUAACUGGUCUGAGAGGAUGAUCAGUCACACUGGAACUGAGACACGGUCCAGACUCCUACGGGAGGCAGCAGUGGGGAAUAUUGGACAAUGGGCGAAAGCCUGAUCCAGCCAUGCCGCGUGUGUGAAGAAGGUCUUCGGAUCGUAAAACUCUGUUAUUAGGGAAGCGGUACCUAAUCAGAAAGCAACGGCUAACUACGUGCCAGCAGCCGCGGUAAUAC
rnacentral:rRNA from 1 species